rnacentral:lncRNA from 1 species
GACAUGUUCAUCUCAGGCAGUCAGGACCUCGGCUUCUCAGAGACACAGGCCUCCGCCUGCACCAUCUGCAACAUGGUGGAGCCAAGGCAGCUUCACUCCUGAGGCCAGAAGGACUACGAACCCACCGGGAGGAACAAUUCCAGACGUGCCACCUGAAGAGCUGUAACACUCACCCGCGAAGGUGCGCAGCUUCACUCCUGAGCCAGCGAGACCACGAACCCCACCAGAAGGAAGAAACCCCAAACACAUCCGAACAUCAGAAGGAACAAACUCCAGACACGCCGCCUUUAAGAACUGUAACACUCACCGUGAGGGUCCGCAGCUUCAUUCUUGAAGUCAGUGAGACCAAGAACCCACCAAUUCCGGACACACUGGGAUUACAGGCAUGAGCCACCACGCCCAGCCUUGCAGGAGUUACAUUAAUUGAAGUGGCUAAUAGCUCAGUCUGGGCCAUUAAAUCAAGAAUCCAGACUACCAGGCACCUGAGACUCUGGCUAGACUGCACAGAAUAGGGGAGAAUGGAAAAAGUACAUCAUUUGUAUGUCUCUUCCACUUUAAUUUUUUCUGUGAGAAAAAAAUCAAAACCCAUAAAGUUAAAAUAUCAUAUGUGACACAAAGUC